UACAGAGGGGGCGAGCGUUGUUCGGAAUUACUGGGCGUAAAGGGCGCGUAGGCGGCCUUCUAAGUCGAACGUGAAAUCCCCGGGCUCAACCCGGGAACUGCGUCCGAUACUGGGAGGCUUGAAUCCGGGAGAGGGAUGUGGAAUUCCAGGUGUAGCGGUGAAAUGCGUAGAUAUCUGGAGGAACACCGGUGUCGAAGGCGGCAUCCUGGACCGGUAUUGACGCUGAGGCGCGAAAGCCAGGGGAGCAAACGGG
rnacentral:rRNA from 1 species